rnacentral:rRNA from 1 species
AUGAACGCUGGCGGCGUGCCUAAUACAUGCAAGUCGAGCGAACGGACGAGAAGCUUGCUUCUCUGAUGUUAGCGGCGGACGGGUGAGUAACACGUGGAUAACCUACCUAUAAGACUGGGAUAACUUCGGGAAACCGUAGCUAAUACCGGAUAGUAUUUUGAACCGCAUGGUUCAAAAGUGAAAGACGGUCUUGCUGUCACUUAUAGAUGGAUCCGCGCUGCAUUAGCUAGUUGGUAAGGUAACGGCUUACCAAGGCAACGAUGCAUAGCCGACCUGAGAGGGUGAUCGGCCACACUGGAACUGAGACACGGUCCAGACUCCUACGGGAGGCAGCAGUAGGGAAUCUUCCGCAAUGGGCGAAAGCCUGACGGAGCAACGCCGCGUGAGUGAUGAAGGUCUUCGGAUCGUAAAACUCUGUUAUUAGGGAAGAACAUAUGUGUAAGUAACUGUGCACAUCUUGACGGUACCUAAUCAGAAAGCCACGGCUAACUACGUG